rnacentral:rRNA from 1 species
CUUUUUUAGUCGAUGAAUCGUUUGAGUUUCUGCCCCAUCAGUUGUCGACGGUAGUGUAUUGGACUACGGUGACUAUAACGGGUGACGGAAAGUUAGGGCUCGACUCCCGAGAGGGAGCCUGAAAGACGGCUACCAUAUCCAAGGAUAGCAGCAGGCGCGUAAAUUACCCACUGGGGACUCCACGAGGUAGUGACGAGAAAUAUCGAUGCGAAGCGUGUAUGCGUUUUGCUAUCGGAAUGAGAGCAAUGUAAAACCCUCAUCGAGGAUCAACUGGAGGGCAAGUCUGGUGCCAGCAGCCGCGGUAAUUCCAGCUCCAGAAGCAUAUGCUAAAGUUGUUGCAGUUAAAAAGCUCGUAGUUGAAUUUCUGGCAUGGGCGACCGGUGCUUUCCCUGAAUGGGGAUUGAUUGUCUGUGUUGCCUUGGCCAUCUUUUUCAUGCCGUUAUUGGGGAGAAAUCUUUCACUGUAAUCAAAGCAAAAUGUUCCAAGCAGGUCGUAUGACCGGUAUGUUUAUUAUGGGAUGAUAAGAUAGGACUUGGGGGCUAUUUUGUUGGUUUGCCGCCUGAGUAUGGUUAAAGGAAAGUUGGGGGUUUCGUAUUUAGAGCUAGAGGGGAAUUCUUGGAUUCCGAAAACGACUAAAACGAAGGCUUUACCAACAUGUUUCAUUAUCAAAACGAAGUCUGGGAUCG